AUAGCGUAUAUUAAAGUUGUUGCGGUUAAAAAGCUCGUAGUUGAAUCUGUGUGCCACGCUGUCGGUUCACCGCUCGCGGUGUUUAACUGGCAUGACUGUGGGACGUCCUACCGGUGGGCUUAGCUCCUUCGGGGGCGGCCCAACUAAUAUCCCAUCGCGGUGCUCUUCGCUGAGUGUCGAGGUGGGCCGGUACGUUUACUUUGAACAAAUUAGAGUGCUUAAAGCAGGCUAUUUUCGCCUGAAUACUGUGUGCAUGGAAUAAUGGAAUAGGACCUCGGUUCUAUUUUGUUGGUUUUCGGAACCCCGAGGUAAUGAUUAACAGGAACAGAUGGGGGCAUUCGUAUUGCGACGUUAGAGGUGAAAUUCUUGGAUCGUCGCAAGACGGACAGAAGCGAAAGCAUUUGCCAAAAAUGUUUUCAUUAAUCAAGAACGAAAGUUAGAGGUUCGAAGGCGAUCAGAUACCGCCCUAGUUCUAACCAUAAACGAUGCCAGCUAGCGAUCCGCCGAAGUUCCUCCGAUGACUCGGCGGGCAGCUUCCGGGAAACCAAAGCUUUUGGGUUCCGGGGGAAGUAUGGUUGCAAAGCUGAAACUUAAAGGAAUUGACGGAAGGGCACCACCAGGAGUGGAGCCUGCGGCUUAAUUUGACUCAACACGGGAAACCUCACCAGGCCCGGACACCGGAAGGAUUGACAGAUUGAGAGCUCUUUCUUGAUUCGGUGGGUGGUGGUGCAUGGCCGUUCUUAGUUGGUGGAGCGAUUUGUCUGGUUAAUUCCGAUAACGAACGAGACUCUAGCCUGCUAAAUAGGCGUACUUUCCGGUAUCUCGAAGGCCCCCGGCUUCGGUCGGGCGGUUUUUACUACCGGCGUACAAAUUAAUCUUCUUAGAGGGAU
rnacentral:rRNA from 1 species